UACGUAGGGUGCGAGCGUUAAUCGGAAUUACUGGGCGUAAAGCGUGCGCAGGCGGUUCGUUAAGUUCGUUGUGAAAGCCCCGGGCUCAACCUGGGAACUGCAAUGGAAACUGGCGGGCUUGAGUGUGGCAGAGGGGGUGGAAGUUCCGCGGUGUAGCAGUGAAAUGCGUAGAGAUGCGGAGGAACACCGAUGGCGAAGGCGAGUCCCUGGACAUCUCCUGACACUGAGGCACGAAAGCUAGGGGAGCAAACAGG
rnacentral:rRNA from 1 species